rnacentral:rRNA from 1 species
GAUGAACGCUGGCGGCGUGCUUAACACAUGCAAGUCGAACGGAAAGGCCCAAGCUUGCUUGGGUACUCGAGUGGCGAACGUGUGAGUAACACGUGGGUGAUCUGCCCUGCACUUCGGGAUAAGCCUGGGAAACUGGGUCUAAUACCGGAUAGGACCACAUUUUGGAUGGUGUGGUGGAAAGUUUUUCGGUGUGGGAUGAGCUCGCGGCCUAUCAGCUUGUUGGUGGGGUAAUGGCCUACCAAGGCGUCGACGGGUAGCCGGCCUGAGAGGGUGUACGGCCACAGUGGGACUGAGAUACGGCCCAGACUCCUACGGGAGGCAGCAGUGGGGAAUAUUGCACAAUGGGCGCAAGCCUGAGGCAGCGACGCCGCGUGGGGGAUGACGGCCUUCGGGUUGUAAACUCCGUGCGCUAGGGACGAAGCGUUAUGUGACGGUACCUGGAGAAGAAGCACCGGCUAACUACGUG